CCUACGGGGGGCAGCAGUGGGGAAUAUUGGACAAUGGGGGCAACCCUGAUCCAGCCAUGCCGCGUGUGUGAAGAAGGCCUUCGGGUUGUAAAGCACUUUAAGCAGGGAGGAAGGCUUGAUGGUUAAUAGCCAUCAGGAGUGACGUUACCUGCAGAAUAAGCACCGGCAAACUCCGUGCCAGCAGCCGCGGUAAUACGGAGGGUGCGAGCGUUAAUCGGAAUUACUGGGCGUAAAGCGCACGUAGGCGGUUUGUUAAGUCGGAUGUGAAAUCCCCG
rnacentral:rRNA from 1 species